CUACGGGUGGCACCAGUAGGGAAUAUUGCGCAAUGGGCGAAAGCCUGACGCAGCAACGCCGCGUGUGGGAUGACGGCUUUCGGGUUGUAAACCACUUUCAGUGAUGACGAAAAUGACGGUAGUCACAGAAGAAGCUCCGGCCAACUACGUGCCAGCAGCCGCGGUAACACGUAGGGAGCAAGCGUUGUCCGGAUUUAUUGGGCGUAAAGAGCUCGUAGGCGGUUUUGUAAGUCGGAUGUGAAAACUCAGGGCUCAACCCGGAGACGCCAUCUGAUACUGCAAUGACUAGAGUCCGGUAGGGGAGCAUGGAAUUCCUGGUGUAGCGGUGGAAUGCGUAGAUAUCAGGAGGAACACCAGUGGCGAAGGCGGUGCUCUGGGCCGGUACUGACGCUGAGGAGCGAAAGCGUGGGGAGCAAACAGGAUUAGAUACCCGCGUAGUC
rnacentral:rRNA from 1 species